AUGAUCAGUGGACUUUCACCCAUAAGAAAAGGCUCUUGGGGACCGUGCAGCCGUGUUCCACAAGGCUGGUUCCCUGGCAGCAGCCCUUGGCGGGGACGUGGGAGCCCGUGCGGGGGUGCCGUCCACCCUCGCAGCCGCAGAGGAGGGACUGGCAGCAGAGGCCGCAGCAGGCCUGCAGCAGCAGCAGCAGCAGCAGCAGCAGCAGCAGCGGCGGGAGGCUGGUCCCAGCGCAGACCCCAGGCCAGCGAAGCCCGGGAGGCAGAGCUACAGACGACAAGGGCGGUGGAAAGAUUUCCGUCUGUCUGCGAAGGGUUGAGGGGGAGCCUCCCAGAGGGCAGGGAAAAGAGCUCAAUUACUCACCGCCCUCGGCCGCUCUGACUGAUUUCUGCCUUCGCUUCUGCUCUUUAAUUGAUUAUAAACUAACCAGAAAUCCCCAGGGAGCCCUCAGCCUCUGCUGAGGUAGCCGUUGGGUUGGGGCACCGUCACAACCCGAGGAUUUUGUGGCUGAAAGGUAUAGCGAGUGACCCGGGGCUGGCCGGCUGUGUGACGCACUCCAGCAUACAUCGGAUGACUCAUAGAAGUCAGAUGGAAAAGACCCAUUAGGUCAUUUUUUCCAUCUCCCAGCCAUUGCAGGUUUGCUCUCUGCCAAGGUGGGAUUAUAUUCAAAUAUUUGGUCCAGUCUCGUUUGAACGGAUUCGAGUAAUAGGCUCCCACAACCUCCCCAGGGACCUUAAUUCCACAGGAUCAUUGAUCUCAGUCUUCGGAAAAUGUUCCUGAGGUUCGCUUUAAAUUUUCCUUUGCUCAAUUUCAUCCCAUUAAUCCUACUUAUUACCCCUCAGGCCACCCUAAAUAAUAUCCCUUCUUCUUUCAUGUUGACAGUCCUCCAAUCCUGGGGUGGGGGGCGGGGGGCAGAUACAAAAAUGUCUUCUUGGCUGGGCUCGCGGCCCUAAGUAUAAAAUGAAGACUAGAAGUAUUCUGAAUAAUAGCUUACCGUGUUGGGGGGACGAUGUGUGUCCGAUGAGAAAGGGUUUUCCAGAUUGCCCAAGAAUUGUUCAGACAAUCAAUGGCAGGUGUUUCUGGGUCUGACUUUACAUUCGAAAGAGUCUGAGCAGGACAGCAGCAAAGGAGAGAGCCCGGGACCUGUCAUACUGUCCCCCAACGUGGAUAAUGGGCCACUGUCCUCAUAGCCUGGGGGGAGAUGAUUCUGUAUAAUCCUCUGAUUAUUUUUCUGCUGAGGGCAGGAAUCACUUCAAAGAGCAAACAUCUACCUGAGUCAACUUCUCUGAGCAUAAAUGUCCCUCCCCCUGGCCCGGGUCGUGGCAGGCGUGACAGCUGGGGAGUCAGCCGCAACCCGAGUGGCCGCCAGGGUGGGAACCUGCCGCCAGGGUGGGGCUACCGACAAUACAAAUUCUCGGGGUUCAUCUCAGACCCACUGUGAUUCAGAAUCGAUGUCCAAAGCCUAGCGACCUACGUUUUUAACAAGUUUCAUAACAUUUGAAAGGCACAGACCUUGGGGUAACUCUAAUCCCACAGCAUUUGAGAGCAUCUUGGAUGAAACUGGGGAACCUCAGCUUUUGCAUCCGAAGUGCAAGAGGUCGGCUGGCGAUGAGACAGAAGUCAGGAGUCAGGGAGGAAGUCAGUCCACAACUGAGAGCAGGAGUUGGCACUGUGGCUCAGGGCGUUAAGAACCCAACACAGUGUUUGUGGGGAUACGGGUUCAAUCUCUGGCCUUGCCCAGUGUGUUACGGAUCCAGUGUUGCUGCAAGCUGCAGCCUAGCUCACAGAUGCAGCUCAGAUCUGGCGUGACUGUGGCUGUGGUGUAGGCUGGAAGCGGCAGCUCUGAUUUGACCCCUCGCCUGGGAACUUCCAUAUCUGCACAUGAGGCCUUAAAAAGGAAAAAAAAAGAAAAGAAAAAGAAAGAAGAGAAAAAAAGAAAAAGACUGAGAGCCAAGUGGAGAGGGCGAGCAAUUGUUGUUAGAAACCAAANGCCUUAAAAAGGAAAAAAAAAGAAAAGAAAAAGAAAGAAGAGAAAAAAAGAAAAAGACUGAGAGCCAAGUGGAGAGGGCGAGCAAUUACUGUUAGAAACCAAAGUGCAGCAUGCAGGGUCUGAACGCAUUGGCUCAUCAGGGCAUGGCCAUUAACUGGAUACAAGGUCUGGCUGGACCCUGGCCUGUUUGAAUGGGGGUCUGUGCUAGAAUUGCCCACUUCUUCACUUGUUGUUUGCGGGUUAAGGCAAAUGCAUCGUACAGGUGUCCCUUGCUUUAUUGCACUUUGCUGCAUGGCGCCUCACAGACAGUGAGUCUUUGACAAAGUGAAGGUUUGUGGCCAGUCUCUCGGUGCCAUGUUUUCAACAACAUUUGCUGACAGUGUAUCUCCGUGUCAGCACCUGAUAAUUUUGGAGAUACUUCCGAUGUUUUCAUUAUUAUUGUCUUUGUUGUAGUGCUGUGAGAUUAGUGAUCUUUGAUUCGUUUCUAUUGCAACUGUUUUGGGGAGCCCCACACAAGGCACUCACAGAAGACAGCAAAUGGAAUCCGUCGUUGACAGCACAGAAUUUAGACUGUGACACUCAAGGUUAUAUUCGUUGAUAUGAUAAUAUAAUUAUGAAAUUAGUUGAUAUAAUAAUAAUUGACAAUCAACAAUGUAUGAGUUGAUAAGGCAGAGACAGGGUUUGAGAGCACUAACUGAACUUUUGAAAGAAGUUCCGCUGAGGGUGAAGUGAUACAAAUCACCACUGCGCAUUACAGAGGGCAGGGCAGGCCAAGAUUUCACAGGACGCCAGAAAAGUACCAGCCAUUAAAGGCAAAAAAAAGUUGAUUACUAAGCUACCAGCAAGUACCACUAUAAAUACCAUUAUAAGAGCUAAAAUAAAAAGACCAUUUCAAAUUUGAACAAAGAUGUAAAAUGACUGGAACUCUCAGAUCUUUCUGGGGGCAUAGAAAGUGGUACAGCCACUUUGGAACCAGUUUGACAGUUUCUUAAAGUUAAACCUCAGACAUCUGUAAAUAACCCCUCAGCUCUACUUCUCGAUACUUACCCAAGAGAAAGGAAACAUAGCCACCUGAAUAUAUACGUAUGUACAUGAGCAUUCAUGUCACAAAUUCAUGUGUAUUACUUAAAAACUGAAAACAAAGGUCCAAAAAGCAAAUGGAUACCACAAACUGUGGUCUAUUCGUCUAGUGAAAUACUACCCAACAAGAAAAAGACCUGAAUCAUUGAUGCAGUCCACAACAUAGACGAAGUUCCAAGCUAUUGUAUGUUCAAAAGUCAGACACAAACAAGGACAUACUAAGUGACUCCAUUUAUAGGAAGUUCUAAAGGUGGAAGAUCUGAUCUUAAAUUAGAAUCUGAAUGGGAUCAAUGGAUGGCUAGGGGCAAGGACUAGCAGUUUACUGGAGAAAAGACAGAGGAAAUUUUUGAAGAAAUGGAAAUGCCUUUUAUCUUGAUUGGGUUCAUGGUUACACCGUAGUGUGAAAGUGUCAAAACCCAUGAAACUAUUAGUUUUAAAAGGCUGUAUUUAUGAAAUUCCCAUGGUAUUCGAAAGGUUAAGAACCCGAAAUAGUCUCUCUGAUGAUGCAGGUUCGAUCCCUGGUCUCCCUCAGUGCGCUGGAACCAGCAUUGCUGAAAGCUGCAGCUGCUCAUACCUGGCUAGAGCCCCCACUGCUUUUCAGCUUGCCUGUUCCACCUGUGCUCCCAUUUUCCAUGGCUUUUGUUGGAAACUUCUGGGUCUCCCUGCAGUACAGCACAGGGAACUAUGCCUAGUCACUUGUGACAGAACAUGCGGAUAAUGUGAGAAAAAGAAUAUCUAUAUAUAUGCCUGGGGUCACUUGGCUGUACAGUAGAAAUUGACCCAACACUGCAAAUCAACUGUAAUAACAAAAUUAAAAUCUUUUAAAAAAAGAAAAGAAACUUCUGGAUCUUUUUUCUUCCUUACCUGGGCCCCAGGGCGUGGCUGUAAAUCAGAUUCUUAUUACCUGAAAACUGGGUUUGCUUCCGGGUGGGUGUCAAGCCAAGACACAACCAAGUCAAAGAUUGGGAGAAGGAUUUGUCACUUGCUGCAAAUAAGAAAAACACCAGGAUCUUUCCCAAAGCAGCCU
rnacentral:lncRNA from 1 species